GCAGUAAUAACGAACAAGUAAUCUAACUAACAAUUCCAAAAAACUACUGUCUUAUACACAGUGUAAGGGGAUAAAGAAUAUGUACAUAAAGAUAUAUGAAUGAGUGAUGGUACAGAGCGGCAUAGGCAAGAUACAGUAGCUGAUAUCGAGUACAGUAUAUGCAUAUGAGAUGAGUAUGUAAACAAAGUGGCAUAGUUAAAGUGGCUAGUGAUACAUGUAUUACAUAAGGAUGCAGUAGAUGAUAUAGAGUACAGUAUAUACGUAUACAUAUGAGAUGAAUAAUGUAGGGUAUGUAAACAUUAUAUUAGGUAGCAUUGUUUAAAGUGGCUAGUGUCAUUAUUUCCAUGUCGAUCCUAGUAGAAGAAACAGCCCUUAUGAUUUCAUGGUGAACUUCAUUGUAACCUCCUGAACGUCCUGUGAACCAGCCACUGUUUCUGGCAGCAGAAUGCAAAGAACAACAGAAGCCAAAACCACAUCAGGAAGAUCAUAUUUAUACAAGAGUCAGAAAGGCAAACAGGCAGGUUGGAGAUAGUGAAACAGACAGGUUGGAGAUAGUCAAACAGGCAGGUUGGAGAUAGUGAAACAGGCAGGCUGGAGAUAGUGAAACAGGCAGGUUGGAGAUAGUGAAACAGGCAGGUUGGAGAUAGUGAAACAGGCAGGUUGGAGAUAGUGAAACAGGCAGGUUGGAGAUAGUGAAACAGACAGGUUGGAGAUAGUCAAACAGGCAGGCUGGAGAUAGUGAAACAGGCAGGUUGGAGAUAGUGAAACAGGCAGGUUGGAGAUAGUCAAACAGGCAGGUUGGAGAUAGUGAAACAGGCAGGCUGGAGAUAGUGGAACAGAAAACUAUAUUGUUUGUUAUUGAAACUAUAUGUCCCAGUGAUUUC
ensembl:lncRNA